AUGAAGCUGGAAUCGCUAGUAAUCGCGGAUCAGAAUGCCGCGGUGAAUACGUUCCCGGGUCUUGUACACACCGCCCGUCACACCAUGGGAGGUCGGAAAUGCCCGAAGUCUGUGACCCAACCGUAAGGAGGGAGCAGCCGAAGGCAGGUCGGAUGACUGGGGUGAAGUCGUAACAAGGUAGC
rnacentral:rRNA from 1 species